ACGAAUUAAUUAAUGCAACAUUAAAUUCUAUUUGUUCAGAAUAUCUUGAACCGCCGCCCUGGAAUUACAGGAGAAGACGCACAAGGAAAGAGGGAGGAUUAGUGAUAUGCAGUUAAUGCUAAAAUACGCUUGGGAUUAGCUGAUGCCAUUGGUGAUGACUGAGGUGCAGUAGUAUGCGCCGCAGGUUUCGGCCUUCAUAGGAUUUGUUGGCACCAUGAAAGGUUA